CCCUUAGAUGUUCUGGGCCGCACGCGCGCUACACUGAUUCAUGCAACAAGUUUUGUCCUUGGCUGAUAGGCCUGGGUAAUCUUUGAACGUGAAUCGUGAUGGGGAUAGAUGAUUGCAAUUAUUCAUCUUCAACGAGGAAUUCCUAGUAAACGCAAGUCAUCAGCUUGCAUUGAUUACGUCCCUGCCCUUUGUACACACCGCCCGUCGCACCUACCGAUUGAAUGGUCCGGUGAAGCCUCCGGAUUGGCGCGCACCUCGGUGCCGCCGAGAAGUUGGCUAAACCUUAUCAUCUAGAGGAAGGUGAAGUCGUAACA
rnacentral:rRNA from 1 species